GCGAGGGUAGCGAAGUGGUCAAACGCGCGAGACUCAAAAUCUCGUCUCUUAGUGAGUUCACAGGUUCGAAUCCUGUCUCUCGCA
rnacentral:tRNA from 3 species